rnacentral:rRNA from 1 species
CCUACGGGAGGCAGCAGUGGGGAAUAUUGGACAAUGGGGGCAACCCUGAUCCAGCCAUGCCGCGUGUGUGAAGAAGGCCCUCGGGUUGUAAAGCACUUUCAGUGAGGAAGAACGCCUGGUGGUUAAUACCCAUCAGGAAAGACAUCACUCACAGAAGAAGCACCGGCUAACUCCGUGCCAGCAGCCGCGGUAAUACGGAGGGUGCAAGCGUUAAUCGGAAUUACUGGGCGUAAAGCGCGCGUAGGUGGCUUGAUAAGCCGGUUGUGAAAGCCCCGGGCUCAACCUGGGAACGGCAUCCGGAACUGUCAAGCUAGAGUGCAGGAGAGGAAGGUAGAAUUCCCGGUGUAGCGGUGAAAUGCGUAGAGAUCGGGAGGAAUACCAGUGGCGAAGGCGGCCUUCUGGACUGACACUGACACUGAGGUGCGAAAGCGUGGGUAGCAAACAGGAUUAGAUACCCCGGUAGUC